AGUCGGACGGCAGCGGGGUAGUGCUUGCACUACUGCCGGCGAGUGGCGAACGGGUGAGUAACAUAUCGGAACGUACCGGGCAGUGGGGGAUAACUGAUCGAAAGAUCAGCUAAUACCGCAUAUUUUCUGAGGAAGAAAGCAGGGGACCAUUUGGCCUUGCGCUAUCCGAGCGGCCGAUAUCUGAUUAGCUUGUUGGCGGGGUAAGGGCCCACCAAGGCGACGAUCAGUAGCGGGUCUGAGAGGACGAUCCGCCACACUGGGACUGAGACACGGCCCAGACUCCUACGGGAGGCAGCAGUGGGGAAUUUUGGACAAUGGGCGCAAGCCUGAUCCAGCCAUGCCGCGUGUCUGAAGAAGGCCUUCGGGUUGUAAAGGACUUUUGUCGGGGAAGAAAAGGCUGUUGCUAAUAUCAGCGGCUGAUGACGGUACCCGAAGAAUAAGCACCGGCUAACUACGUGCCAGCAGCCGCGGUAAUACGUAGGGUGCGAGCGUUAAUCGGAAUUACUGGGCGUAAAGCGGGCGCAGACGGUUACUUAAGCAGGAUGUGAAAUCCCCGGGCUCAACCCGGGAAUUGCGUUCUGAACUGGGUGGCUAGAGUGUGUCAGAGGGAGGUAGAAUUCCACGUGUAGCAGUGAAAUGCGUAGAGAUGUGGAGGAAUACCGAUGGCGAAGGCAGCCUCCUGGGAUAACACUGACGUUCAUGCCCGAAAGCGUGGGUAGCAAACAGGAUUAGAUACCCUGGUAGUCCACGCCCUAAACGAUGUCGAUUAGCUGUUGGGCAGCCUGACUGCUUGGUAGCGAAGCUAACGCGUGAAAUCGACCGCCUGGGGAGUACGGUCG
rnacentral:rRNA from 1 species